rnacentral:lncRNA from 1 species
CCAAAAGUAGUCGGUAAUAACCAUUUACCGACAACUUAGCGACGACCAUGAUAUCGUUGGUAAAUCUCUUGUCGCUAAGAAUUACGAUGGCCUUUGGCCAUCGAUAAUUAUCGAAGGGCAAAAGCCCUUGGAAAAAGCCCUUUACCCACGGUCUAAGGUCACGAACCCAGCGUCCUCACACGAUCAAUGGGGCAUGCACCACAAACUAGGACCAAAGCAACCACCUCGACGUUGGAUGCAAACUAGGAAGCCUCAAGCUUUGGCUGGGAAUCCACGACAAUUGGUUUUGCAGUGAACUAAGAAGCCUCGACCACUGGUUUCGCAACGAACUUGGGGGAGUUGGGUCGGCUUCUCGACGGUGGCUUGUUGGGAACAACGAAGGAGGAAGGUUUGUUGUUUUACACUCACAAGGGAGAAUGGGGAAAACGAAUUGCAAAUGGCCGAAUUGAUUUUGUGGGAGGGAAACCUUUACACGAAAUGAUUUUGGGGGAGGGAAACCUCUGCGCCAAAUAUUCUGCUGCAUGAAUUUUGUUUGGGUGAUUUGGGGAGAGAAACCCCAACUUUCGAGCUUUAAUCAUCGAGCCUCUUAUACCGACAGUCGUGGAUCCUUCGGUAACUAAAUACACCUAAGCCAAUACCGACAGCCUAAAGGCCUUCGGUAAUAUUCCAUCGAAAAUCAUGUGUUUUUCUGUAAUGUUGUAAUGUCAUAUUUGCACUCACUUUAAUUAUAUUAUAAAUUCAUUUUAUAUUUAUUUGAUGUGAAAUCUUUACCCAUCCC